rnacentral:rRNA from 1 species
GAUGAGCGCUGGCGGCGUGCCUAAUACAUGCAAGUCGAGCGAACGGACGAGAAGCUUGCUUCUCUGAUGUUAGCGGCGGACGGGUGAGUAACACGUGGAUAACCUACCUAUAAGACUGGGAUAACUUCGGGAAACCGGAGCUAAUACCGGAUAAUAUUUUGAACCGCAUGGUUCAAAAGUGAAAGACGGCCUUGCUGUCACUUAUAGAUGGAUCCGCGCUGCAUUAGCUAGUUGGUAAGGUAACGGCUUACCAAGGCAACGAUGCAUAGCCGACCUGAGAGGGUGAUCGGCCACACUGGAACUGAGACACGGUCCAGACUCCUACGGGAGGCAGCAGUAGGGAAUCUUCCGCAAUGGGCGAAAGCCUGACGGAGCAACGCCGCGUGAGUGAUGAAGGUCUUCGGAUCGUAAAACUCUGUUAUUAGGGAAGAACAUAUGUGUAAGUAACUGUGCACGUCUUGACGGUACCUAAUCAGAAAGCCACGGCUAACUACGUG